rnacentral:piRNA from 1 species
UAGAAGGUUUUUGUGAUUGAACAAAGG